UCUUGAUGUAAGAAGACCCUUCACCUGUCUCCUCACCACAGCCCUGGGGGUUGAGGUACCCUCUGUGGCCACUGUCGGGCUGUCAGGACGCUCAGAGCCAUGGCCCCGCGCUUCUGUUUGUGGACUCUCAGUGGACAGCCUGGUCUAUCGUCAACCACCUGUGGGUAGGUGGGUACAGGGGUCUGCCUUGGCUUUGAAAGCGGGUUGAUGUUCUAACACCUGGGACUAGAAGACGGCUGUUCUCCGAGCUUGGGGCCAGCGGAGCAACCCCAAAGGCUCGGAUGCCGGGGCUGCGGCCCACAGGGCCAGACGAGGAAAGGGCCACGGCCCUGCUGGUCUCCGGGUCUUAGCAGCUGGAUGCGGAGCGCAGCGUCAGUGAUGCUGCCGGGCCCUGUGUGAACAAGGCAAGCCGCCUAGGGAAGAGAGGCUUCCCCAGCCUUGUGGUGGUCCCCUGAAAACAAGAGCCAAAUGCACCAGGGGUGUUGGGUCCUCUUAGAGCCCAUAGGGCAGGUACUUUCAUCUGGGAAGAAGAACCAGGCAGCUUUCUAAAACUGGUUAUAGGAAGUAGGAUCUAGGGAAAAGAGACAGCAGCGUGUGGUGCUGAGCUAGGGAGAGCCGGGGGCCCUUUCGCGGUGCCCACUCCCCCUAGCUGCACAGUUUGAAGGGGUUACUUCUCCAGUUCUCUCUCAUCUGUCAAACGGGCCCAGCGGCCAUACCUGCCCUACUGGGUUGUCGUGAGGGUCACGGGACAUGAUGCUUACAGUUCUAGGACAGUGCCUGGUGCGCACCAAGUGUUCAUUCAAUUAUUAGUUAGUAUUGCCUCUGUGCAUUCUCCAAAACCAUCAGGUGGGUCAGGGAGAAAGCCCUCUUUUUGCCAACCCAGAGAGCUUCCUCUCCUGAUGACACAAAUCAAAGCACAAAUUUGGCAGGACUGGAAGCAGCAAGAGAGGGAAGGGCUGGGCCAAGGGCGCCCCAGGUGGGUGAGUUGUGGGUCUCUGCUCAUGUGACCUUGAGGCCAGGAGUCUCGAAAGGGAAAGGCAGAGGGGGCAGGGCCUGCUGGAGAGGCCCUGGGGAUACUCACUCGACAUAUUUGGUCCAGGGCGGAGGGUCGUGCUGGGCCAUGAACACGCAGUUGGUCAGAAUGGUACACAUGAUGAGCAUGCUGAAGAGCGAAUGCACCAAGAUCUUCACAGCCACUCUCCGGAUGGGGUGGAAGGGGCUGAGGACAUGCAAGGCGUUGGUGGCGCUGAACCGGAAGAUGGUCUUGCCUUUGUUCAGGACGAUGAAGGUCUGCGGACAGAGAGCCACUUUAGGUAGGGUGGCAGCCCUAGGUCCUUAUGGAGGAGCUCCUGGGGGGCAGG
rnacentral:lncRNA from 1 species